GACGAACGCUGGCGGCGUGCUUAACACAUGCAAGUCGAACGACGUGGCGAACGGGUGAGUAAUACGUAGGUAACCUGCCCUCCUUUUUGGGAUAAGCCUUGCGAACGGGGUCUACUACCGUAUUAAUGGGGACGGGCUCGCGGCCUCUCAGCUUGUUGGUGGGGUAAUGGACGACCAAGGCGGUGACGGGUAGACUGCGUGAGAGGGUGACCGGCAACUGUGGGACGGAGAGACGGCCAAGAGGCGGACGGGAGGCAGCAGUGGGGGAAAUUGGACAAUGGGCGAAAGCCGGAUGCAGCGAGGCCGCGGAGGGGAUGCAGGCUUUAGGGUUGUAAAACUCGGGAGCAACAGAAGGGGUAGCUGGAGAAGAAGCGCCGGCUAACUACGUGCCAGCAGCCGCGGUAAUUC
rnacentral:rRNA from 1 species